CGUGGUUAAAUCGACACC
rnacentral:misc_RNA from 1 species